GAUGAACGCUGGCGGCGUGCCUAAUACAUGCAAGUCGAGCGAAUGGAUUAAGAGCUUGCUCUUAUGAAGUUAGCGGCGGACGGGUGAGUAACACGUGGGUAACCUGCCCAUAAGACUGGGAUAACUCCGGGAAACCGGGGCUAAUACCGGAUAACAUUUUGAACCGCAUGGUUCGAAAUUGAAAGGCGGCUUCGGCUGUCACUUAUGGAUGGACCCGCGUCGCAUCAGCUAGUUGGUGAGGUAACGGCUCACCAAGGCAACGAUGCGUAGCCGACCUGAGAGGGUGAUCGGCCACACUGGGACUGAGACACGGUCCAGACUCCUACGGGAGGCAGCAGUAGGGAAUCUUCCGCAAUGGACGAAAGUCUGACGGAGCAACGCCGCGUGAGUGAUGAAGGCUUUCGGGUCGUAAAACUCUGUUGUUAGGGAAGAACAAGUGCUAGUUGAAUAAGCUGGCACCUUGACGGUACCUAACCAGAAAGCCACGGCUAACUACGUGCCAGCAGCCGCCGUAA
rnacentral:rRNA from 1 species